rnacentral:pre_miRNA from 1 species
UCUUAGGGAUGAGCAAAGAAAGUGGUUUUUUGACAUGGAAUCCACUCUGGUAAAGAUGUUGUGAA